rnacentral:rRNA from 1 species
CCCUUAGAUGUUCUGGGCCGCACGCGCGCUACACUGAUGCAUUCAACGAGUCUAAAACCUGGUCUGAUAGGGCUGGGUAAUCUUUUGAAUGUGCAUCGUGAUUGGGAUAGAUGAUUGCAAUUCUUCAUCUUCAACGAGGAAUGCCUAGUAAACGCAAGUCAUCAGCUUGCAUUGAUUACGUCCCUGCCCUUUGUACACACCGCCCGUCGCUCCUACCGAUUGAGUGGUCCGGUGAGGCUUUGGGAUCUGAGCGGAAAGAGCGUUUCGCUGUUUCUGCCCGGAAAACUCAGUCGAACCUUAUCAUUUAGAGGAAGGAGAAGUCGUAACA